AAUUUUGGACAAUGGGGGCAACCCUGAUCCAGCCAUCCCGCGUGUGCGAUGAAGGCCUUCGGAUUGUAAAGCACUAUAAGUUGGGAGGAAGGGUUGUUGGCUAAUAUCAAGCAAUUUUGACGUUACCGACAGAAUAAGAACCGGCUAACUCUGUGCCAGCAGCCGCGGUAAUACAGAGGGUGCAAGCGUUAAUCGGAAUUACUGGGCGUAAAGCGCGCGUAGGUGGUUCAGUAAGAUGGGUGUGAAAUCCCCGGGCUUAACCUGGCAACUGCUUUCAUGACUGCUGAGCUAGAGUACGGUAGAGGGUAGUGGAAUUUCCUGUGUAGCGGUGAAAUGCGUAGAUAUAGGAAGGAACACCAGUGGCGAAGGCGACUACCUGGACUGAUACUGACACUGAGGUGCGAAAGCGUGGGGAGCAAAC
rnacentral:rRNA from 1 species